rnacentral:rRNA from 1 species
UGCAGUCGAGCGGUAACAGGKGUAGCUUGCUACMYGCUGACGAGCGGCGGACGGGUGAGUAAUGCAUAGGAAUCUGCCCGGUAGUGGGGGAUAACCUGGGGAAACCCAGGCUAAUACCGCAUACGUCCUACGGGAGAAAGGGGGCUCCGGCUCCCGCUAUUGGAUGAGCCUAUGUCGGAUUAGCUAGUUGGUGAGGUAAAGGCUCACCAAGGCAACGAUCCGUAGCUGGUCUGAGAGGAUGAUCAGCCACAUCGGGACUGAGACACGGCCCGAACUCCUACGGGAGGCAGCAGUGGGGAAUAUUGGACAAUGGGGGCAACCCUGAUCCAGCCAUGCCGCGUGUGUGAAGAAGGCCCUCGGGUUGUAAAGCACUUUCAGCGAGGAAGAACGCCUAKUGGUUAAUACCCAUUAGGAAAGACAUCACUCGCAGAAGAAGCACCGGCUAACUCCGUGCCAGCAGCCGCGGUAAUACGGAGGGUGCAAGCGUUAAUCGGAAUUACUGGGCGUAAAGCGCGCGUAGGUGGCUUGAUAAGCCGGUUGUGAAAGCCCCGGGCUCAACCUGGGAACGGCAUCCGGAACUGUCAGGCUAGAGUGCAGGAGAGGAAGGUAGAAUUCCCGGUGUAGCGGUGAAAUGCGUAGAGAUCGGGAGGAAUACCAGUGGCGAAGGCGGCCUUCUGGACUGACACUGACACUGAGGUGCGAAAGCGUGGGUAGCAAACAGGAUUAGAUACCCUGGUAGUCCACGCCGUAAACGAUGUCGACCAGCCGUUGGGUGCCUAGAGCACUUUGUGGCGAAGUUAACGCGAUAAGUCGACCGCCUGGGGAGUACGGCCGCAAGGUUAAAACUCAAAUGAAUUGACGGGGGCCCGCACAAGCGGUGGAGCAUGUGGUUUAAUUCGAUGCAACGCGAAGAACCUUACCUACCCUUGACAUCUACAGAAGCCGGAAGAGAUUCUGGUGUGCCUUCGGGAACUGUAAGACAGGUGCUGCAUGGCUGUCGUCAGCUCGUGUUGUGAAAUGUUGGGUUAAGUCCCGUAACGAGCGCAACCCUUGUCC